UUAACAUAUAUAUUUCAUAUAUACAUGAGAGAAACUCAGGGAUGAGUAACUCAAAGGGGCAACUAGAGCUUGGGCAUAUAUAUAGCAUCUUAACAAAAGAACAGAAAAUCUUUAAAUAAAUGAUAAAGCAAAGGAAAAAGGCCUUGAAUCUAUAGGGUGGUAAACCAUGAGGAGGCAAAUAUUAAGGAAACUAGGGGUGGAGAAAGUCUCCUUAGUAAAGUUUGUUAUGUAGAUUCCUCUGGUGCCAUCUCCAGGCUCUUAAGAGUCUAAAAUUGCCUCUGGUGAUUAACUUUUGUUCCUUCUGGUAGAGAUUUAGAAAUUUAAAUUCUUCGUAAGCAAAUAGGAGAGAAGAGAGUUUUACUUGCUUCUUCCCAACUACCUUCAGCUCAAAAUAAUGAUCAUUUUGUCAAAGUGGCAUACUGGUGGCAAAUUCUGCUGUCCUUCAGAAGCUCCCCUGGAAAUGAAGUGGUAAGAAAGUCCAUAUGAAAGUCAUAGAUUUUUGAGAUUCAUCCAUCCCAAUGACUUAGCACCAGAAGUAUACAUCAUAAUCACCUGUGAAUUGUUUAAAGUCAAACAUCGUUGAAUAUUCCAUGUUUGAUAAGCCUGGAAUGAGUCCUGAGCAUCUAGAGUUAUAACAAUCGUUACAGGUGAUUCUGAUGCUUGUUGCUGAUGAAGGACCAGGACAGCUUCCCCACUCACCGGCCUUUGCAAUGACUCAGGGCUCUAGUGCUGGAACAGGCUAAACUCCCUUGUGCUGCAUCAUAAUUUCUCCCAGCAUUUAUCCUAUGCGAUUUCCUGUUCUUCCCUCCCCACCUCCCCCCAACACCGUAACUUUCUUCCAGAUUUAAACUGACUUCGGAAAAAGAGAAGAUGAAGAAAUUACAAAGCCUUAUCAGAUAAAUGCUCAGCAAUCAGAAAAAAAGCACAUCACCUCAUCAUCAUCUUUUUUACUCCCUGGACUUAGCAAAAGACUUACCUAUUACUUUAGAGAUUGGAUGGUCCAGUCUAGUGGAAAGAACAUUUCCAUGAGAAUCUGACAUCUUGGAUUUAAAUUUCAGACUGUAUGCAAGAUCCCAACAGUAGAAGAGAUCAUUCCUUCAAAAUCGACUGAAACAUUAUCUGUUUCUAGAGAGAUACUUGGGAUUGAUUACAAAAGGAAGAGUGAUCGAAUAAAUAUUCCCUUUUUAUGUUAUUU
rnacentral:lncRNA from 1 species